rnacentral:rRNA from 1 species
UACAGAGGGUGCGAGCGUUAAUCGGAAUUACUGGGCGUAAAGCGUGCGUAGACGGUUAUUUAAGUCGGGUGUGAAAGCCCCGGGCUCAACCUGGGAAUUGCAUUCGAGACUGAAUAGCUAGGGUACGGUAGAGGGAAGUGGAAUUUCCGGUGUAGCGGUGAAAUGCGUAGAUAUCGGAAGGAACAUCAGUGGCGAAAGCGGCUUCCUGGCCCGGACAUUGACGCUCAUGUACGAAAGCGUGGGGAGCAAACAG